rnacentral:rRNA from 1 species
UAAGGAAUAUUGGUCAAUGGACGCAAGUCUGAACCAGCCAUGCCGCGUGCAGGAAGACGGCCUUAUGGGUUGUAAACUGCUUUUGUCAGGGAAUAAACCCUCCUUUGCGAAGGGGGCUGAAGGUACCUGAAGAAUAAGCACCGGCUAACUCCGUGCCAGCAGCCGCGGUAAUACGGAGGGUGCAAGCGUUAUCCGGAUUCAUUGGGUUUAAAGGGUGCGCAGGCGGGCUUGUCAGUCAGUGGUGAAAGCCUACGGCUUAACCGUGGAACUGCCAUUGAUACUGCAGGUCUUGAGUAUAGUUGAAGUGGGCGGAAUGUAGCAUGUAGCGGUGAAAUGCAUAGAUAUGCUACAGAACACCAAUUGCGAAGGCAGCUCACUAAGUUAUAACUGACGCUCAUGCACGAAAGCGUGGGGAUCAAACA